rnacentral:rRNA from 1 species
AAGAAGCACCGGCUAACUACGUGCCAGCAGCCGCGGUAAUACGUAGGGUGCGAGCGUUGUCCGGAAUUACUGGGCGUAAAGAGCUCGUAGGCGGUCUGUCGCGUCGGCUGUGAAAACCCGAGGCUCAACCUCGGGCCUGCAGUCGAUACGGGCAAACUAGAGUACUGCAGGGGAGACUGGAAUUCCUGGUGUAGCGGUGAAAUGCGCAGAUAUCAGGAGGAACACCGAUGGCGAAGGCAGGUCUCUGGGCAGUAACUGACGCUGAGGAGCGAAAGCAUGGGUAGCGAAC